AGGUCGAGUAGACCAAGGCGCUUGAGAGAACUCUGCUGAAGGAACUAGGCAAAAUGGUACCGUAACUUCGGGAGAAGGUACGCUGUUGUUGGUGAUGGAACUCGCUUCCUGAGCUGACGACAGCCGCAGAAACCAGGCCGCUGCAACUGUUUAUUAAAAACAUAGCACUCUGCAAACACGAAAGUGGACGUAUAGGGUGUGAUGCCUGCCCGGUGCUGGAAGGUUAAUUGAUGGGGUUAGCGUAAGCGAAGCUCUUGAUCGAAGCCCCAGUAAACGGCGGCCGUAACUAUAACGGUCCUAAGGUAGCGAAAUUCCUUGUCGGGUAAGUUCCGACCUGCACGAAUGGCAUAAUGAUGGCGGCGCUGUCUCCAGCAGAGGCUCAGUGAAAUCGAAAUCGCUGUGAAGAUGCAGUGUACCCGCGGCUAGACGGAAAGACCCCGUGAACCUUUACUGCAGCUUGACACUGAACUUUGACCUUACUUGUGUAGGAUAGGUGGGAGGCUUUGAAGCUGGAACGCUAGUUCCAGUGGAGCCGUCCUUGAAAUACCACCCUGGUAAUGUUGAGGUUCUAACUCUGUCCCGUGAUCCGGGACGAGGACCGUGUCUGGUGGGUAGUUUGACUGGGGCGGUCUCCUCCUAAAGAGUAACGGAGGAGUACGAAGGUGCGCUCAGCGUGGUCGGAAAUCACGCGUAGAGUAUAAAGGCAAAAGCGCGCUUAACUGCGAGACCCACAAGUCGAGCAGGUACGAAAGUAGGUCUUAGUGAUCCGGUGGUUCUGUAUGGAAGGGCCAUCGCUCAACGGAUAAAAGGUACUCUGGGGAUAACAGGCUGAUACCGCCCAAGAGUUCAUAUCGACGGCGGUGUUUGGCACCUCGAUGUCGGCUCAUCUCAUCCUGGGGCUGAAGCAGGUCCCAAGGGUAUGGCUGUUCGCCAUUUAAAGAGGUACGCGAGCUGGGUUUAGAACGUCGUGAGACAGUUCGGUCCCUAUCUACCGUGGGCGCUGGAAAUUUGAGAGGAUCUGCUCCUAGUACGAGAGGACCAGAGUGGACGAACCUCUGGUGUACCGGUUGUGACGCCAGUCGCAUCGCCGGGUAGCUAUGUUCGGAAGGGAUAACCGCUGAAAGCAUCUAAGCGGGAAGCCUACCUCAAGAUAAGAUUUCCCUAGGACUUUAUGUCCUCUAAAGAGCCGUUCGAGACUAGGGCGUUGAUAGGUUGGAUGUGGAAGCAUAGUGAUAUGUGAAGCUGACCAAUACUAAUUGCUCGUGAGGCUUGACUAU
rnacentral:rRNA from 1 species